CCUACGGGAGGCAGCAGUGAGGAAUUUUCCGCAAUGGGCGAAAGCCUGACGGAGCGACGCCGUGUGGGUGAUGAAGGCCUUCGGGUCGUAAAGCUCUGUCAGAUGGGAAGAAGGUUCCGUUUCUGAAUAAGAAACGGAAUUGACGGUACCGUCGAAGGAAGCACCGGCUAACUCCGUGCCAGCAGCCGCGGUAAUACGGAGGGUGCAAGCGUUGUUCGGAUUUAUUGGGCGUAAAGAGCGUGUAGGCGGCCGGGUAAGUCAGAUGUGAAAUCCCUGGGCUUAACCAAGGAAGGGCAUUUGAAACUGUCGGGCUUGAGUACGGGAGGGGGAAGUGAAAUUCCCGGUGUAGAGGUGAAAUUCGUAGAUAUCGGGAGGAACACCGGUGGCGAAGGCGGCUUCCUGGACCGAUACUGACGCUGAGACGCGAAAGCGUGGGGAGCAAACAGGAUUAGAUCCCCGUGUAGU
rnacentral:rRNA from 1 species